rnacentral:rRNA from 1 species
GGGGAAUAUUGCACAAUGGGCGAAAGCCUGAUGCAGCGACGCCGCGUGCGGGAUGACGGCCUUCGGGUUGUAAACCGCUUUCAGCAGGGAAGAAGCGCAAGUGACGGUACCUGCAGAAGAAGCGCCGGCUAACUACGUGCCAGCAGCCGCGGUAAUACGUAGGGCGCGAGCGUUAUCCGGAAUUAUUGGGCGUAAAGAGCUCGUAGGCGGUUUGUCGCGUCUGCUGUGAAAGCCCGGGGCUUAACUCCGGGUGUGCAGUGGGUACGGGCAGACUAGAGUGCAGUAGGGGAGACUGGAAUUCCUGGUGUAGCGGUGAAAUGCGCAGAUAUCAGGAGGAACACCGAUGGCGAAGGCAGGUCUCUGGGCUGUUACUGACGCUGAGGAGCGAAAGCAUGGGGAGCGAACAGGAUUAGAUACCCUGGUAGUCCAUGCCGUAAACGUUGGGCACUAGGUGUGGGGGACAUUCCACGUUUUCCGCGCCGUAGCUAACGCAUUAAGUGCCCCGCCUGGGGAGUACGGCCGCAAGGCUA